rnacentral:rRNA from 1 species
CGGAGGUGCGCAUUUUCGCUAUUAUGUGUUCUUUUAAUUAAAAUGAUUCUUUUUAAAUCUCUAAUAUUUGCUUCUGCAUUUUUGGAGAUUUGUUACUUUGAGUAAAUUAGAGGGUUCAAAGCAAACAGAUAUAGCAUUUGUGCGUUUGAAUACUACAGCAUGGAAUAACAAAAUUGAACAAGUCAAAAUUUUUGUUCUUUUUUCUUAUUUUGGGUUAGUUACGAGUAAUAGGAGUAGCUUGGGGGCAUUUGUAUUCAGAUGUCAGAGGUGAAAUUCUUAGAUUUUCUGGAGACAAACAACUGCGAAAGCAUUUGCCUAAAAUACUUCCAUUAAUCAAGAACGAAAGUCUGUUUAGUGAAGACGAUCAGAUACCGUCGUAAUCUUAACCAUAAACUAUGCCGACUAGGCUUGGAUGAAAAGAUUUA